rnacentral:rRNA from 1 species
CUACGGGCGGCUGCAGUGAGGAAUAUUGCACAAUGGGGGGAACCCUGAUGCAGCAACGCCGCGUGGAGGAUGACGCAUUUCGGUGUGUAAACUCCUUUUAUAUGUCAAGAAAAUGACGGUAGCAUAUGAAUAAGCACCGGCUAACUCCGCUGCCAGCAGCCGCGGUAAUAAGGAGGGUGCAAGCGUUACUCGGAAUCACUGGGCGUAAAGGACGCGUAGGCGGGUUGGAAAGUCAGGUGUGAAAUCCUACAGCUUAACUGUAGAACUGCACUUGAAACUUCUAAUCUAGAGUAUGGGAGGGGGAGAUGGAAUUAGUGGUGUAGGGGUAAAAUCCGUAGAUAUCACUAGGAAUACCUAAAGCGAAGGCGAUCUCCUGGAACAUUACUGACGCUAAGGCGUGAAAGCGUGGGGAGCAAACAGGAUUAGAUACCCGAGUAGUC